GGAGAGAUGGCAGAGUCUGGCUGAAUGCGCUGCACUCGAAAUGCAGUAUACACUUACGUGUAUCGGGGGUUCGAAUCCCUCUCUCUCCA
rnacentral:tRNA from 1 species